GGGCGUUAAGUUGCAGGGUAUAGACCCGAAACCCGGUGAUCUAGCCAUGGGCAGGUUGAAGGUUGGGUAACACUAACUGGAGGACCGAACCGACUAAUGUUGAAAAAUUAGCGGAUGACCUGUGGCUGGGGGUGAAAGGCCAAUCAAACCGGGAGAUAGCUGGUUCUCCCCGAAAGCUAUUUAGGUAGCGCCUCGUGAAUUCAUCUCCGGGGGUAGAGCACUGUUUCGGCUAGGGGGCCAUCCCGGCUUACCAACCCGAUGCAAACUGCGAAUACCGGAGAAUGUUAUCACGGGAGACACACGGCGGGUGCUAACGUCCGUCGUGAAGAGGGAAACAACCCAGACCGCCAGCUAAGGUCCCAAAGUCAUGGUUAAGUGGGAAACGAUGUGGGAAGGCCCAGACAGCCAGGAUGUUGGCUUAGAAGCAGCCAUCAUUUAAAGAAAGCGUAAUAGCUCACUGGUCGAGUCGGCCUGCGCGGAAGAUGUAACGGGGCUAAACCAUGCACCGAAGCUGCGGCAGCGAACGUAUCACCCAAGACAACUUUACGGAGUUGACGAUUGACGGAGCGAAGCGACGUCAAAGCGUUCAUUAAAGUCGAGUUGGCUUAGGGAUACGUUCGUUGGGUAGGGGAGCGUUCUGUAAGCCUGUGAAGGUGUGUCGUGAGGCAUGCUGGAGGUAUCAGAAGUGCGAAUGCUGACAUAAGUAACGAUAAAGCGGGUGAAAAGCCCGCUCGCCGGAAGACCAAGGGUUCCUGUCCAACGUUAAUCGGGGCAGGGUGAGUCGACCCCUAAGGCGAGGCCGAAAGGCGUAGUCGAUGGGAAACGGGUUAAUAUUCCCGUACUUGGUGUUACUGCGAAGGGGGGACGGAGAAGGCUAUGUUGGCCGGGCGACGGUUGUCCCGGUUUAAGCGUGUAGGUGUGUGUUCCAGGUAAAUCCGGUUCACUUUAACACUGAGGCGUGA
rnacentral:rRNA from 1 species